UACGUAGGGUGCAAGCGUUGUCCGGAAUUAUUGGGCGUAAAGAGCUCGUAGGCGGUUUGUCGCGUCUGGUGUGAAAACUCAAGGCUCAACCUUGAGCUUGCAUCGGGUACGGGCAGACUAGAGUGUGGUAGGGGUGACUGGAAUUCCUGGUGUAGCGGUGGAAUGCGCAGAUAUCAGGAGGAACACCGAUGGCGAAGGCAGGUCACUGGGCCACUACUGACGCUGAGGAGCGAAAGCGUGGGGAGCGAACAGG
rnacentral:rRNA from 1 species